GACGAACGCUGGCGGCGUGCCUAAUACAUGCAAGUAGAACGCUGAAGGAGGAGCUUGCUUCUCUGGAUGAGUUGCGAACGGGUGAGUAACGCGUAGGUAACCUGCCUGGUAGCGGGGGAUAACUAUUGGAAACGAUAGCUAAUACCGCAUAAUAGUAGAUGUUGCAUGACAUUUGCUUAAAAGGUGCAAUUGCAUCACUACCAGAUGGACCUGCGUUGUAUUAGCUAGUUGGUGGGGUAACGGCUCACCAAGGCGACGAUACAUAGCCGACCUGAGAGGGGGAUCGGCCACACUGGGACUGAGACACGGCCCAGACUCCUACGGGAGGCAGCAGUAGGGAAUCUUCGGCAAUGGACGGAAGUCUGACCGAGCAACGCCGCGUGAGUGAAGAAGGUUUUCGGAUCGUAAAGCUCUGUUGUAAGAGAAGAACGAGUGUGAGAGUGGAAAGUUCACACUGUGACGGUAUCUUACCAGAAAGGGACGGCUAACUACGU
rnacentral:rRNA from 1 species